GACAGAGGUGCCGAGCGUUAGGCGGAAUCACUGGGCUUAAAGCGUGUGUAGGCGGGCGGGCAAGUACCUUGUGAAAUCCCACGGCUCAACCGUGGAACGGCUGGGUAUACUGCCUGUCUUGAGCCAACUAGGGGCGAGCGGAACAGACGGUGGAGCGGUGAAAUGCGUAGAUAUCGUCUGGAACGCCGAAGGUGAAAACAGCUCGCUGGGGUGUGCUGACGCUGAGACACGAAAGCCAGGGGAGCGAACGGG
rnacentral:rRNA from 1 species